GCAAACCUGGGGGUUUGGUGGGGUAUGGGGAGGUCUAUGAAACAAUCUCUUUCAUCUGCAGCCCAUGAGGAAACUGCCACUGCUUUUGGAAAAAAGGUUUGGAGAAGUUGUACAAAGCUAAAGAGAAGAAUUAAUAAGAUUUACUGCCCACCCUCCCAAACGCCACAGACCCCUAAAAGUCAGGCCACAAUCAAAGGCUGCAGACUUCUGAAGGGAAGAAGCCAAAGGAACAAAUGCAUUCCGAGAAACCAGAACACCAUGUUUGCAAAAAGACCAUCAGGUCAGGGGAAGGGGAAAAAAAGAAUGUGUUUUUAUUGUGAACAUGUGUCAAGAGGACUCCGCCACAUAAACUCGGUACCCACAAUAAGUAUAUUUGUGUCGUAAUUAAUGUGAGAUCAGAGGAGCAAGUUUUGCCAAAAGGCCGUUGUCAACAUGGGAUCUGUGAUGUGGGUCAGGCAUCCUGCUUUCCAAACGCGGUGUCCGCUGUGCUCAUAGUAAUGAAGCGUUUUGUCAUCUAACGACCAAGCCAGCAAGAGUGACUCCCAGACGGGAUUAUACCUAAAACACAGUUUCCAAAUGUUCCUUCUUGGCAAAUCUUUUAAGGAAACUCUAUGCAAAAGGAAUGUCAAGACAUCUGUAAUUAGAUCUUAGAGAAAAGGAUGGAAGACUGGGGGCCGGUUUAUAUUUUGUCUCUCCGAGACCCCGUGGAAUUCCCGGUCCUGGCUGUCAAGGGCCUUCUCCAUCACGUGGCCCUGGGUCAUCGAUCUUCGUGUUCCCUCUUCUGCCAGGGUCUCCAGUAACACUCUGGCGGUGCCAAGUCCCCCUUGGAAAGUUCACUGCAGCAGCUGUGAAGGCAGGAACAGUGAGCGGCCUCCCAACGGUCGUGGGCCAGGCCCGUGCUUAGAGCUCGGUGAGAUGUCGUUUCUGGAGCUUUCGGCUUUGUUAUGGGCCUGGAGGUCUUAUUAAGAAAGCAGAGUGGAGCAGUUCUGUGGGCCCCACAAUCCCGUUUCAGAAGACUUCUGUGUUGCAGGGAAAACCGAAGCGGGAAGAGGAAGCCAACCAGGUCCCUCCCAAGAUCAUUUUAACUUUUCGGAGGGGCCCCCGGAGAAGGGCCUGCAUAGUGGGGUGCGUGUCCACAUCCCGCGCUGAUGUGGGAAAUGGGAUUGAGUUUGCUUUCUGUAUCGGCUCAUGAGUGAACAUGCUUCUGCACGCCUGUGGGUCUUUCCAUGUGUUUGCAAGCAGGUCACGCCUCUCUGUGCAUGUGAUGGGGAGUGCUGCCUCUGAGCCUGUGGCUAUGGGCUUUGCACACGCAUGGGGGCAUUCAUAACUUGAUGUACAUGCAUGAAAGAGACACUGCAAAAUAUUCCGCAAUUCACAGUACAUUACACUUUCUUUUUCUCUUUUUCAACCAACAGGCUAUCUGCAGACCUCUCAGCUCUCUGUCACCCAAAUACGAUCUUAGGGUGUUUGCAAAACAAAACACAUCGUAAAUCUCAAGAAGGGCUAGAACCUGGAGACUUUUAAAAAGAGAGAAAGGAGAGAGCGGGAAGGGGGGGAAGGGAGGUGGCCAAGAGGGGCACUGUGAUGCAGUCUCUGCCCUGUAAUGAAGCACUUCCCCAUGAUUCCAACCUAGAAGCAAUUUUCUCUUGGCACUAGGUGGGAUCGAUCCCAGUGUUUAGGGUUUCUUCUCUCUCUCCAUCCCUCCCCUUCGCCACGCUAACAGUGAAGAACAGAUGUGCCCCACUUUAUAAAUGCUGACCAGCUGGGGAGGCUGCAGCAGCGUCUACACAGCUUUUCCCAAAUGCUGAUGCCUGAGGAGGCCUCUGGGAGGAAGACUGGGGGUCUCUCAGACACAUCUUGUGGCCUGCUUGCUUCCAGAAACUUCCUUGGGGUUCCCUGAAAGGGGAGCACUAAAAAAGUAAAUAAAUAAAACAGAGAAUACCUAGAGCCUUUGCUUUGGGCAUCCGGCAGCUACACUGAUGUUCAUAAAGACCCGAAAUGCCAGACAGGCAUUAAUCCAGGCCCUCUGGACUGAGAUGGGGCUGAUGCGGGUGAUAAGGAUUCAGGACAGAGGCCUAAGGCCCGGCCUUGCCCUUAAAUAAGUGUAAAGAGGCAAACUCUGAUUAUUGCACAUGAUGAUUACUUUUUUCCCCUUCCAAGAGAUUAAAAGGGCCAUUUGUUUUCCUAAGUCUCAA